GAUGAACGCUAGCGGCAGGCCUAACACAUGCAAGUCGAGGGGUAGAGUUCUUCGGACUUGAGACCGGCGCACGGGUGCGUAACGCGUAUGCAAUCUACCUUAUACAGGGGAAUAGCCCAGAGAAAUUUGGAUUAAUGCCCCAUAGUGUUAUCGAAUCGCAUGGUUUGAUAACUAAAGUUCCAAACGGGUAUAAGAUGAGCAUGCGUCCCAUUAGUUAGUUGGUAAGGUAACGGCUUUACCAAGACAAUGAUGGGUAGGGGUCCUGAGAGGGAGUCCCCCANACUGGUACUGAGACACGG
rnacentral:rRNA from 1 species